rnacentral:antisense_RNA from 1 species
UCCAUGGUGGGCCGUAGCGGGGGCGUGCUUGCACGCGCCGGUUCCAUUCUGCCGGUACGCCAACCCUGCUACGUGCCUGCCACCC